rnacentral:misc_RNA from 1 species
GAUGAAGAACGUAGCGAAAUGCGAUAAGUAGUGUGAAUUGCAGAAUUCAGUGAAUCAUCGAAUCUUUGAACGCACAUUGCGCCCUUUGGUAUUCCUUAGGGCAUGCCUGUUCGAGCGUCAUUUAAACCUUCAAGCCCUGCUUGGUGUUGGGUGCCUGUCCCGCCCCCGCGCGUGGACUCACCUCAAAUCCAUUGGCGGCCCCCGCAAGGCCACGAGCGCAGCAGAAACGCAAACUCGUGUGCCCGGCGGGCGGCUCCCAGAAGCUACACCCACCAUUUUGACCUCGGAUCAGGUAGGGAUACUCGCUGAACUUAAGCAUAUCAAUAAGCGGAGGA